GAUGAACGCUGGCGGCGUGCCUAAUACAUGCAAGUCGAGCGAACAGACGAGUAUCUUGCUCCUCUGACGUUAGCGGCGGGCGGGUGAGUAACACGUGGAGAACCUACCUAUAAGACUGGGAUAACUUCGAGAAACCGGAGCUAAUACCGGAUAAUAUAUUGAACCGCAUGGUUCAAUAGUGAAAGACGGUUUUGCUGUCACUUCUAGAUGGAUCCGCGCCGCAUUAGCUAGUUGGUAAGGUAACGGUUUACCAAGGCAAGGAUGCGUAGCCGACCUGAGAGAGUGACCGGACCCACUGCGACUGGGAGACGGGCCAGACUCGUACGGGAGGCAGCAGUAGGGACUUAUGCGCAAUGGGCGAAAGCAUGACGGAGCAACGCGGCGUGAGUUAUGAAGGUAUUCGGAUCGUAAGACUCUGUUAUUAGGGAAGAACAAAUGUGUAAGUAACUAUGCACGUCUUGACGGUACCUAAUCAGAAAGCCACGGCUAACUCCGUG
rnacentral:rRNA from 1 species